UACGAAGGGGGCUAGCGUUGCUCGGAAUCACUGGGCGUAAAGGGUGCGUAGGCGGGUCUUUAAGUCAGGGGUGAAAUCCUGGAGCUCAACUCCAGAACUGCCUUUGAUACUGAAGAUCGUGAGUCCGGGAGAGGUGAGUGGAACUGCGAGUGUAGAGGUGAAAUUCGUAGAUAUUCGCAAGAACACCAGUGGCGAAGGCGGCUCACUGGCCCGGUACUGACGCUGAGGCACGAAAGCGUGGGGAGCAAACAGG
rnacentral:rRNA from 1 species